rnacentral:lncRNA from 1 species
AUGCACUGCGGUAAAUAAAUAACUAAGUAAAUAAAUGUGUCUUCCAGCUGAGGCUGAGUGUUUGGCGUCGCGCAGUCAUGUGUUUUGGGGCCGUGGCUUUGGAAGGAGCUCAGAAGGGGGGGUUGGAGUGAAUGGAAAUAAUGAGCUGUGUUUAAAACAGUCGUGAGAGGUCUACAAACACUCGAUUUUUAUACUCUCUUUGCAGAGUUAUUACUAUUUUAAUUAUGUAUUGGUAUAUAAAGACUAGUUUAGAGUCGUGAGAGGUCUACAAACACUCGUAUUUUUAUACUCUUCUUUUGCAGUAGUUAUUACUAUUUUAAUUAUGUAUUGGUAUAUAAAGACUAGUUUGAACUAAUUUGGAAUUGUUUUUUUUUUUUUUUUUUUUUUUUUUUUAAAUUUCCUUACCUACCCUGCCUUUAAUGCCUUUAAUAUACCAAAUAUGUGCUCUAACAGUGUAAUAAAAGAAUAUGCAGUGUAACACUGGACUGAUAUGCUCUGUCAUUGUCACAGCAUGUGCUCUGUCACAAAGCACAUGCAGCAAGUGACACUGCACGCUACAUACACUUUAAAUGCACUGUUUAUAAUUCAAACUGUAGUGGUCACAUAUGACAUUCACAGGGUUGCAACUAAAUAAUUGUUCGACUGUCCUAUAUCAAACAUUAAGAUUAUGAUACUUUACAACACAAAAUACUCAAGGCAGUUUGAAAGGUUUGAUUUUAAUAUCAAUGUAAAUUAAAAGUUUAUAUGUAGAUGAAGCACAUAUUUUUAAAUGUAUGUUUGAGUGGUACGACCUUGUGAGCAAACAAAAUAUUCUUGAAAAGCACAUAAUUGCUUGAUUUCAUUAGCCUUGAUGAAAACAUGUUUUUCCUGUAAGUGAUGGUUCUGUCUUAACUGAACAUUUUUUUUAUGUUUUUGCUAGAUGCUAUGUUGAUCUUUUUGAUGACACAGAUUCGGAUGUGGAUUUGAAUGAAGCAAUCGCAAGAUCCCUCCUAGACAUUAAUCAGUCACAGCACACAGAAGUUGAAGAACUGACUUUGAUGGAUAUCUUGUUACCACUUGGGAAUGCGAUUUCAAGUGACUUGAUCAGAUUUAACAUCACAAGGAAGAGUGUGUGGGAAGGAACUGAACGGGCCAUGAGACGUCCAAAUUUCCUACCUUCAAAGAUGAUUUGUCAUUAAAUUUACAGAUGAUGUUGGCAUUCCCGAGUGUGCAAUUGACCAAGGGGGUCCAAAAAGAGAAUUCUUUAGACUUGUUCUUGAGCACAUUUGCAACUACAGCGGAAUGUUCGAGGGUGUAAAGGAUGAGAAAAUGUUAUCAUGCAACCUGGCUGGUAAUGAGCUGGAAAAUGUCACUGAAUUAUUUCAGUUAGUAAUUGUAUUUUUUGCUAAUAUUUUUUCAAGUAUCUCUUUAUUUUUUUACAG